UACGUAGGGGGCGAGCGUUGUCCGGAUUUAUUGGGCGUAAAGAGCUCGUAGGCGGUUCGAUAAGUCGGACGUGAAAUCUCCACGCUCAACGUGGAGGGGCCGUUCGAUACUGUCGUGACUCGAGUCCGGUAGGGGAGUGUGGAAUUCCCGGUGUAGCGGUGAAAUGCGCAGAUAUCAGGAAGAACACCCGUGGCUAAGGCGGCUCUCUAGUACGGUACUGACGCUGAGACGCGAAAGCGUGGGGAGCGAACAGG
rnacentral:rRNA from 1 species